CACCAAGUUGCUAAUAAAUCAGUUUUGGAUGAAUCAUUUCCUGUGUGUAGACUGCACGCUUCAUCACAGAGAAGAUUCUCACAGACUUCCUCUCUGGUGCAGAGAUCCAUCCAAUGGGAUUUUUACAGCAGUGUGACUCCAUGGUGGACAUCAAAAUCUUAAAGCUUCAGCUACUGAGUUAUGCGAACAUAUGAGAAUCUCAGGCCAUGUCUAUUCUAGAGCGCUUUUACAGUGGAAAAGCUAUAACAGCAGUGCAGCUGCAUCGGAAGAUCUCCCAUGUAGCCACUCUGCACCAAUGGAAGAGAGCCUUCCCGUUGACAUAAUUAAACCAUCCUCAAUGAGCAGCGGUAGCUAUUUCCACACCAUUGUCCACACCAGUGCACCUGUCAGUGUACCUUAUGUUGCUCACUUAUGUCAUAUCGACAAAAGGUGCUAGUGUAGACACAGCCUUAGCUUUCAUUGGUGGGUGGAGAGGACAGUCAAUUGCUAGCUCUAACAGUUGCAGAGAAAAAUAACAAAAAUUUAUCCCCUGUGUAUCCUAAAGGUUCAAAUAUCAGAAAGAUAAUAAUAAACAUGGAGUUUGUUUUCUUUCGAAUCUCA